UGUUAAGUGGAUAAACAAAAACUCCUGGCUUUCUUUUCCCUGCUUUUCUUUAUUCCUACUAAACUUUAUUGCCCCAUUAAGAUAAUUAAAGGUGAAACCAAAAGAACAGCUUUAAGAACUGCUCUUGUGAUUGGGACUGCUUCCAGCGGCCAUGCUGAGUCCUCUCAUCUGCCUGCUGGUCCAGCUCAUCUGAGGCACUGUGACAUUGUCCCAGCCUAGUCCUAGUUCAGAGAAACUGAAGGAAGCUGAUUUCCACAGAUCAGGUGAGUGGGUUAAUUGUGGCGGUCCCCUCCAUUUUCUCCUUUGGACAGCCAGACCACGUCCUAAAUCAAC
rnacentral:lncRNA from 1 species